UACGUAGGGUGCAAGCGUUGUCCGGAAUUAUUGGGCGUAAAGAGCUCGUAGGCGGUUUGUUGCGUCGGCUGUGAAAUCCCGAGGCUCAACCUCGGGUCUGCAGUCGAUACGAGCAAACUAGAGUGUUGCAGGGGAGACUGGAAUUCCUGGUGUAGCGGUGAAAUGCGCAGAUAUCAGGAGGAACACCGGUGGCGAAGGCGGGUCCCUGGACAACACCUGACACUGAGGCACGAAAGCUAGGGGAGCAAACAGG
rnacentral:rRNA from 1 species